rnacentral:lncRNA from 1 species
AAAACAAGUUGUAUAAGCUAAGCUUUCAAGGGAACUAAUUUCAUAGAAAUUAAAGACGAUUUGAAUUUUUGGAAAAUUUCCAAGUGAAGAGGGGUAAUUAUUUAGAAAUAACAGUUGAGGGUUGGCUUCUUCCAUCUUUACUUUGUUUUUUUUUACUCUUCACCUUCCGACUUUUGACUUGACCUUGACUCAAAUUUUAACUUCCAAUCUUUACAUUUAUUUUAAUUUUUUCUUUAUUUCUCU